GGAGGCAGCAGUGGGGAAUAUUGCACAAUGGGCGCAAGCCUGAUGCAGCCAUGCCGCGUGUGUGAAGAAGGCCUUCGGGUUGUAAAGCACUUUCAGCGGGGAGGAAGGCGUUAAGGUUAAUAACCUUGGCGAUUGACGUUACCCGCAGAAGAAGCACCGGCUAACUCCGUGCCAGCAGCCGCGGUAAUACGGAGGGUGCAAGCGUUAAUCGGAAUUACUGGGCGUAAAGCGCACGCAGGCGGUCUGUCAAGUCGGAUGUGAAAUCCCCGGGCUCAACCUGGGAACUGCAUUCGAAACUGGCAGGCUAGAGUCUUGUAG
rnacentral:rRNA from 1 species